rnacentral:rRNA from 1 species
UGGGGAAUAUUGGACAAUGGGGGCAACCCUGAUCCAGCCAUGCCGCGUGUGUGAAGAAGGCCUUUUGGUUGUAAAGCACUUUAAGCAGUGAAGAAGACUCCAUGGUUAAUACCCAUGGACGAUGACAUUAGCUGCAGAAUAAGCACCGGCUAACUCUGUGCCAGCAGCCGCGGUAAUACAGAGGGUGCAAGCGUUAAUCGGAAUUACUGGGCGUAAAGCGAGCGUAGGUGGCUUGAUAAGUCAGAUGUGAAAGCCCCGGGCUUAACCUGGGAACGGCAUCUGAUACUGUUAGGCUAGAGCAGGUGAGAGGAAGGUAGAAUUCCAGGUGUAGCGGUGAAAUGCGUAGAGAUCUGGAGGAAUACCGAUGGCGAAGGCAGCCUUCUGGCAUCAUACUGACACUGAGGUUCGAAAGCGUGGGUAGCAAACA